UUUUGUGUAGCUUAGUUUGUAGGGCAUGGCACUUACAAUGCCAGGGUUGUGGGUCGGAUUCCUACUGGAAAGC